rnacentral:rRNA from 1 species
UGGGGAAUUUUGGACAAUGGGCGAAAGCCUGAUCCAGCAAUGCCGCGUGUGUGAAGAAGGCCUUCGGGUUGUAAAGCACUUUUGUCCGGAAAGAAAUCCUUGGCUCUAAUACAGUCGGGGGAUACGGUACCGGAAGAAUAAGCACCGGCUAACUACGUGCCAGCAGCCGCGGUAAUACGUAGGGUGCAAGCGUUAAUCGGAAUUACUGGGCGUAAAGCGUGCGCAGGCGGUUUGCUAAGACCGAUGUGAAAUCCCGGGCUCAACCUGGGAACUGCAUUGGUGACUGGCAGGCUAGAGUAUGGCAGAGGGGGUAGGAAUUCCACGUGUAGCAGUGAAAUGCGUAGAGAUGUGGAGGAAUACCGAUGGCGAAGGCAGCCCCCUGGGCCAAUACUGACGCUCAUGCACGAAAGCGUGGGGAGCAAACAGGAUUAGAUACCCUGGUAGUCCACGCCCUAAACGAUGUCAACU